CAGUAGCCGCGGGAAUACGCAGGUGGCAAGCGUUAUCCGGAAUGAUUGGGCGUAAAGCGUCUGUAGGUGGCUUUUCAAGUCCGCCGUCAAAUCCCAGGGCUCAACCCUGGAAUGCCGGUGGAAACUGUCGAGCUCGAGUCCGGAAGAGGCAAGUGGAAUUCCUGGUGUAGCGGUGAAAUGCGCAGAUAUCAGGAGGAACACCAAUGGCGAAGGCAGCUUGCUGGGACGGUACUGACGCUGAGACGCGAAAGCGUGGGGAGCAAACAGGAUUAGAUACCCCAGUAGUCCCUGUCUCUUAUAC
rnacentral:rRNA from 1 species